GUAGGUGGCAAGCGUUGUCCGGAAUUAUUGGGCGUAAAGCGCGCGCAGGCGGUUCUUUAAGUCUGAUGUGAAAGCCCACGGCUCAACCGUGGAGGGUCAUUGGAAACUGGAGAACUUGAGUACAGAAGAGGAAAGCGGAAUUCCACGUGUAGCGGUGAAAUGCGUAGAGAUGUGGAGGAACACCAGUGGCGAAGGCGGCUUUCUGGUCUGUAACUGACGCUGAGGCGCGAAAGCGUGGGGAGCAAACAGGAUUCGAUACCCUGGUAGUCCACGCCGUAAACGAUGAGUGCUAAGUGUUAGGGGGUUUCCGCCCCCCUUAGUGCUGCAGCUAACGCAUUAAGCACUCCGCCUGGGAGUACGGCCGCAAGGCUG
rnacentral:rRNA from 1 species